rnacentral:rRNA from 1 species
GAUGAACGCUAGCGGCAGGCUUAAUACAUGCAAGUCGAGGGGCAGCAUGAUUGUAGCAAUACAAUUGAUGGCGACCGGCAAACGGGUGCGGAACACGUACACAACCUUCCAAUAAGUGGGGAAUAGCCCAGAGAAAUUUGGAUUAAUACCCCGUAACAUAACGAUGUGGCAUCACAUUGAUAUUAUAGAUUUUUCGCUUAUUGAUGGGUGUGCGGCUGAUUAGAUAGUGGGCGGGGUAACGGCCCACCAAGUCUACUAUCAGUAGCUGAUGUGAGAGCAUGAUCAGCCACACGGGCACUGAGACACGGGCCCGACUCCUACGGGAGGCAGCAGUAAGGAAUAUUGGACAAUGGACGCAAGUCUGAUCCAGCCAUGCCGCGUGAAGGAUUAAGGUCCUCUGGAUUGUAAACUUCUUUUAUAAGGGACGAAAAAAGGCUUUUCUAAGUCGUCUGACGGUACCUUAUGAAUAAGCACCGGCUAACUCCGUGCCAGCAGCCGCGGUAACAC